AACGUAGGUGACGAGCGUUAUCCGGAAUUACUGGGCGUAAAGCGCGUGCAGGCGGCUUCGCAAGUCGGGCAUGAAAUCUCUUGGCCUAACCGAGAGACGCUGUCCGAUACUGCGGAGCUUGAGGGCAGUAAAAGGUGGCGGAAUUCCGCAUGUAGUGGUGAAAUGCGUAGAUAUGCGGAGGAACACCAGUGGCGAAGGCGGCCACCUGGGCUGUCCCUGACGCUGAAGCGCGAAAGCUAGGGUAGCGAACGGG
rnacentral:rRNA from 1 species